rnacentral:rRNA from 1 species
CCUACGGGAGGCAGCAGUGAGGAAUAUUGCUCAAUGGACGAGAGCCUGAACCAGCCAAGCCGCGUGAAGGAUGAAGGCCCUAUGGGUUGUAAAUUCUUUUUAUAUGGGAAUAAAACGUUCCACGUGUGGGAUUUUGUAUGUACCAUAUGAAUAAGGAUCGGCUAACUACGUGCCAGCAGCCGCGGUAAUACGGAGGGUCCGAGCGUUAUCCGGAUUUAUUGGGUUUAAAGGGAGCGUAGGUGGAUUGUUAAGUCAGUUGUGAAAGUUUGCGGCUCAACCGUAAAAUUGCAGUUGAUACUGGCAGUCUUGAGUACAGUAGAGGUGGGCGGAAUUCGUGGUGUAGCGGUGAAAUGCUUAGAUAUCACGAGGAACUCCGGUUGCGAAGGCAGUUCACUGGACUGCAACUGACGCUGAGGCUCGAAAGUGUGGGUAUCAAACAGGAUUAGAUACCCGUGUAGUC